UACGAAGGGGGCUAGCGUUGUUCGGAAUCACUGGGCGUAAAGCGUACGUAGGCGGAUCGUUAAGUCAGGGGUGAAAGCCUGGAGCUCAACUCCAGAACUGCCUUUGAUACUGGCGAUCUCGAGUCCGGGAGAGGUGAGUGGAACUGCGAGUGUAGAGGUGAAAUUCGUAGAUAUUCGGAAGAACACCAGUGGCGAAGGCGGCUCACUGGUCCGGUACUGACGCUGAGGUGCGAAAGCGUGGGGAGCAAACAGG
rnacentral:rRNA from 1 species